AGUCGACGGCAGCGCGGGGUAACCUGUCGGCGAGUGGCGAACGGGUGAGUAAUACAUCAGAACGUGCCCUGUGAUGGGGGAUAACUACGCGAAAGCGUAGCUAAUACCGCAUACGACCUACGGGUGAAAGUGGGGGAUCGCAAGACCUCACGUCAUAUGAGCGGCCGAUGGCGGAUUAGCCAGUUGGUGAGGUAAAGGCUUACCAAGGCAACGAUCCGUAGCUGGUCUGAGAGGACGACCAGCCACACUGGGACUGAGACACGGCCCAGACUCCUACGGGAGGCAGCAGUGGGGAAUCUUGGACAAUGGGGGCAACCCUGAUCCAGCAAUGCCGCGUGUGGGAUGAAGGCCUUCGGGUUGUAAACCACUUUUGGCGGGGGCGAAAUAUCGAGUGCUAAUACCAUUCGGUGAUGACGGUACCCGCAGAAUAAGCACCGGCUAACUACGUGCCAGCAGCCGCGGUAAUACGUAGGGUGCAAGCGUUAAUCGGAAUUACUGGGCGUAAAGCGUGCGCCGCGGUUAGGUAAAACACAUGUGAAAUUCCCGGGCUCAACCUGGGAACUGCAUUUGUGACUGCCUGACUAGAGUGCGGCAGAGGGGAGUGGAAUUCCGCGUGUAUCAAUGAAUUGCGUAGAUAUGCGGAGGAACACCGAUGGCCAAAGGCAACUCCCUGGGCCUGCUCUGACACUCAUGCACGAAAGCGUGGGGAAGCAACAGGAUAAAAUACCCUGGUAUCCCCUCCCAAAACGAUG
rnacentral:rRNA from 1 species